GUCCAAGCCAUCUCUGAAUCUAUGCUCAAAUCCAAACCCUCUACCUGUCAGCUCGAUCCAAUCCCUACAGCUCUUGUCAAAACCUGCCUCUCCCCACUUGCUCCCCUCAUCACCAACAUCAUUCACUCCUCCCUAAUCUCUGGAACCGUCCCUCUUGCACUUAAAACCGCUACAGUAAAGAAUGACCUUCUC